CUACGGGUGGCUGCAGUGGGGAAUCUUGGACAAUGGGGGCAACCCUGAUCCAGCGAUGCCGCGUGUGUGAAGAAGGCCUGCGGGUUGUAAAGCACUUUUAGUUGUGAGGAUGUAGUUUAUGCUGAUAAGGUAUAAGCUGUGACGUUAGCGACAGAAAAAGCACCGGCAAACUCUGUGCCAGCAGCCGCGGUAAUACAGAGGGUGCAAGCGUUAAUCGGAAUGACUGGGCGUAAAGGGCAUGUAGGCGGUCUAUCAAGUUAGAUGUGAAAUACCAAGGCUUAACCUUGGGGCGUCAUCUAAGACUGAUGAACUAGAAUCAAGUAGAGGGAAGUGGAAUUUCCGGAGUAGCGGUAAAAUGCGUAGAUAUCGGAAGGAACACCAGUGGCGAAGGCGACUUUCUGGACUGUGAUUGACGCUAAAGUGCGAAAGCGUGGGUAGCGAACAGGAUUAGAUACCCCAUAGUC
rnacentral:rRNA from 1 species